AUACGUAGGGUGCGAGCGUUGUCCGGAAUUACUGGGCGUAAAGAGCUCGUAGGUGGUUUGUCGCGUCGUCUGUGAAAUUCCGGGGCUUAACUCCGGGCGUGCAGGCGAUACGGGCAUAACUUGAGUACUGUAGGGGAGACUGGAAUUCCUGGUGUAGCGGUGAAAUGCGCAGAUAUCAGGAGGAACACCGGUGGCGAAGGCGGGUCUCUGGGCAGUAACUGACGCUGAGGAGCGAAAGCAUGGGUAGCGAACAGGAUUAGAUACCCUGGUAGUCCAUGCCGUAAACGGUGGGCGCUAGGUGUAGGGGUCUUCCACGACUUCUGUGCCGUAGCUAACGCAUUAAGCGCCCCGCCUGGGAGUACGGCCGCAAGGCUAAAACUCAAAUGAAUUGACGGGG
rnacentral:rRNA from 1 species